rnacentral:pre_miRNA from 1 species
AUAGUACUCCCUCCGUCCGAAAAUACUUGUCGGAGGAAUGGGUGUAUCUAGACGUAUUUUAGUUUUAGAUACAUUCAUUUUUAUCCAUUUUUCCGACAAGUAUUUCCGGACGGAGGGAGUACCAA